CCUCAAUGACUGAUUUGUUUCUACCAACAUGAAGAUUUCUGAUGUGAAGAGAAGAUGUGGCAAAAGGCAGAGUCAUCUGCAUGCGUGCACAAGACAACACCUGCACAUGUUGCAGCCCAAGAGUGCUCCCCAAGAGCAAGAGUUCCAGCGGUGUCAAGUGUCCAGAAGCAGCCCCAGGUUCUUGGAAGAAAUGUUAUUUGAACUAGACAGAUGGUGGCACUUUUGCCGGCAGGACCAUUUCAAUUAGUGACCCUGUUGUUGGCAGCAGUGCUGUACAGUUUACCUGUUGUUAGUAUGCGGCGAAUAAAGACGUCAGUGGACCUCUCGAUAAA